AGACACAAAAAUCAAAGUUGCAGAGUGGAGCCUCGUCAGCAAGAAAGCUGAGUUCAUAACAGGGAAGCCAAGCCGCCUCUUCAAGACAACAUUAUAAAUACAAAAGUACAUGUGCAUUUGGGUUCUGUUCUGUUCUUGGUGGAGCUAAGGUAAGGUAAGGUGGUGGCCUUGGUUUAACCAAAGAUCAGAUCAGCCAUGGCCAGCUGCUUUAUCCUUUUUAGAUUGCUUUUCUUGCUUCUCUUUCUUUCAGGUUCAGUUGUUCCAAUUUAUAGCGGUGGUGUUGGGAUUAACUAUGGCCAGAUUGCCAACAAUCUUCCAUCUCCAUCUAGAGUUGCGCUUCUGCUUGAAUCCCUAAACAUUACAAGAGUAAAACUCUAUGAUGCUGAUCCAAAUGUCCUACUUGCCUUUUCAAAUUCAAAUGUCGAUUUCAUUGUUGGACUUGGAAAUGAGUAUCUUCAGAACAUGACAGACCCCAUCAAAGCUCAAAAUUGGAUUCAACAGCAUCUUCAAACCCACCUCCCUCAGACCAAAGUCACUUGCAUUACUGUCGGAAAUGAGGUUUUUAACAGCAAUGAUACUCAAUUAAUGUCUUAUCUACUCCCAGCUAUGCAAACAGUGUAUCAUGCUCUUGUUAAUCUUGGAUUAGAUAAGCAAGUUACUGUCACAAGUGCUCAUUCUCUCAACAUCUUAGCCAACUCUUACCCUCCUUCUUCUGGGAGUUUCAGACAAGAUCUUGCUGAAUAUAUUCAGCCACUUUUGAAUUUUCAUUCUCAAAUUAAUUCUCCUUUCCUUAUCAAUGCAUAUCCUUAUUUUGCAUACAAGUAUAACCCAAGUGAGGUUUCUUUAGAUUAUGUCCUUUUUCAGCCUAACCAAGGUUUGACAGAUCCAAAUACAAAUUUGAAAUAUGAUAAUAUGUUGUAUGCUCAAAUUGAUGCUGUGUAUUCAGCGAUUAAAGCAAUGGGGCAUACAGAUAUUGAAGUAAGGGUUUCAGAAACAGGUUGGCCAUCUAAAGGGGAUACAGAUGAAGCAGGAGCUACACCACAAAAUGCUGGUCUUUAUAAUGGUAAUCUGCUGCAGAGAAUUCAGGAGAAGCAAGGAACACCAGCAAAACCAUCAGUUCCUGUUGAUGUCUACGUUUUCGCACUUUUUAACGAGGACUUAAAGCCUGGUCCGACAUCAGAAAGGAACUACGGAUUAUUCUACCCUGAUGGCACCCCAGUUUAUAACAUAGGAUUACAGGGUUAUCUUCCAGAGUUAACUUAUUCUUCAGCAUCCAAGAUAAAUGUUUUGUCUGUAUUGAGUGUGGUGAUCUAUGUUAUGGUCGGCUUAACCUGUGCUUAGGAGCACCUCAAUCCAUUGGUAGAAGGAGAGGGACUAACAGAAUCAAUUUCUUAGAGAUCAUAUAACUGCAAGAGGAGUUUUUUGUUUUUGUUUCUUAAGGAGAAAAAUGGCAGCAGGAAUUUUUCCAGCAGUGGGCAGAGCAUCUCAUCUCUUUACAAGUUUCCUUGUGUAAAAUAAUAAAAACAUAAUCACUAAGGUUGAAUCCUGGAAUGGUAAUUCAUCUAUAGGUUAAAGUUAAUAGAAAGUUUAUUACAUGAAAAAUACUAAUUCUUUUGACAGAUUUCCAAUAAAGAAAAGUUGGUUAUGAUAA